CCUGCCGGCAGGAGGGGACGAAGUAACCGAGUAGUAAACUGAAAAGACUUACGUUAAAAACAAAGGGGCAAUGUCCGAGAGUAAUCAUCGCCGGCCGCGCUUCUCUUGGCUGUUACAGACAGCCCUGAGCCGGCUCCCGCUCCCCGCUCGGGAAGGGCAAAAACAGAGUGGAGGAUGCGGGCAUCGAUCCCGCUACCUCUCGCAUGCUAAGCGAGCGCUCUACCAUUUGAGCUAAUCCCCCGGCUGUGGCUGCCUCUCUUCCAGUUACCUUACAGGUUGUUACAAGAUGUCUGCCGACCAAUGAAAAACCAAAAUUCAGGACAUUUAUUUUUGCAGCCGAGUAUAAUGGAACCAUAGGCAAAUUCUUAAAAGGUAGAAAUAACUACACGUAAGCAAUAGUAAGAAGAUCUUAAAUAAAGCAUCGAAUAUAUCUGCAUUUAACCCACAAAAGAGUACUUAGACUCUACAUACCUUGACCAACUGCACACGUUUUACAGAACAUCGCAGUGCUCAGGAAUUCAGUCUGCCUUCAAAUAAAACUCCCCACGCACCCAAGUUUGGUGGAGGUUAAAAAGGUUGUACGAAGUCCUUCGAGCCGGAAUCGAACCAGCGACCUAAGGAUUGCCACAGACUCAUCCACUACAGUCCUCCGCUCUACCAACUGAGCUAUCGAAGGCCCCGCUGCUUCCAGCGCCCGCAGAUUGCUCUCUAAUGCUUACCGAGGCCUCGCUACGCCAGGACCUCAGAGCUUGCUAGAGGCCUGGACUCCACUUACUAUAGAAGCUCGCCCGGGCCGAGCCCCUCCAGGCUACACAGAACAGAGAAAGGCAGAGACCUGUGAGAGCAACGGACCCACCUCCCAGCCCCGGAUGGAGGAAACACGGGCAAUGCACUUCCCUUCCGUUUUCCAGCUUUCUACCAAACAAUGCGCCCCCUCCCGCCGCCCCUCCCGGUGGCUCCCAUAGGACUGCAGACGCUUGGAGACCCCGCUCGCGACCCCGGCCAGCGUGUUCCGGACAGCAUGGCCCCGCGGGGCCAGCACCCUCGCACGCUCUACAAUUGCAACGCGCACACCCCGUUCGCCCGGCCGACGGCUUGCUUUUUGCUAUUUCUGCUCCCCAUUCCCCUUAGAUUUAUCCGGGGGACGCCAAUAAAAUCCUACUGCUCCCCUGGUGUGAGGUGCAUUGAUUCCGACAAUGAACCAACGUUUUGUCGGCCAUUCAUCCCGACCAGGGCAAGUAAUAUACAAACCACAGAGCGGCUCGAGGUUUGCAGGGCGGCGCGGGUUCAGCUGCCCCGAACCCCGCGAGGGGGGCUGGCGGGCGGGGCCGCGGAGGGGGCUCCGGGCUCGGCCACGUCCGUCGGCCCCGCCCCUGCCGGUCUCACCUUCCCUCCCUCCGGGGCGGGCAAAGCCAGCCCACAAUCCUGUGCCCACCGGGAGCUUCGGGGGUUUAAAAACAAGCCUCAAGACUAAAGCCCAGCUCUCCCGCGAAUCCUGGCUUCGUCGUGUGAUGGGGCUUGGAAGAACAACUCCUACCCUUUUAAGCAAUGACUCCCAAGCAAGCACCAACCCCUGGCAACCACUCACCAGCUUUCUGACUGUAUGGGUUUGCCCAUUCUGGAGAUUUCACGGGAAAGAAGUCACAAAACAUGUGACCUUUUGUGUCUCAUUUCUUUCACUUAUAAUGUUUUUGGGACUCAUCCAAGUUGUAGCCUGUGUUAGUACUUGCUUUUUAUGGUGAAUACCAUUCCCUUGUAUGGAUAUACCCUUUAUCCAUUCAGCUGUCGUGUUUUUGUUGUUGUUUUUCAUUCAUCUGUUUUGAUGGACAUUUGGAUUAUUUCCACCUUUUGGCUUUUAUGAAUAAUGGUUUUAUAAACAUUCAUGAAGAAAUUUGUGUGAAUAUAUGCUUUCAUUUCUCUUGGUUAUAUACUCAGGAGUGGAAUUCUGGGUUUUAUGGUAACUAUAUGUUUAACUCUUUGAAGAAUUGUCAAACUGUUCCCAUAGUGUCUCAAUCACUUUACAUCCCCUCCAGCAAUGUAGGAGGGUCUCAUCCUUGUCAACACUUAUUUUCCGUUUUUAUUAUAGGCAAUAUUUCAAUAAAUUAAGCUCAAUUAAUUAAAAACAUUUUCUCGUAUCAUUAUAGAUGUUUUGGAAUUAUUUGAAAAGCCAUUUCCCAACCUUUGGUUUUACCACAUUUUUAAAAAAUAUUCAUCUUACUGUCAGACACAGUUUAUAUCCAAAUUUUUAUUAUUAAUACUGCUACAAUAAAUGUUCUGGAAUAUAAAUCUUUGUCCAUGCUUCGGCUUACUUUUUUUACUCUUCAGAAUGUGUAUACUUGUUAAUCUUUUAUUAUUUUUACAUAGUUUGGAAUCUCACAUGAUUUUGAUAACUCUUUCAGAAUUAUGCAAAAAGCCAGAAUAUAUUUUUAGGAGUGUAACUACUUGGUAAAAUAGUAUGAAAGUUUUAAACUUUUUGAUAAAUAUUACCAAAUUACUUCCCAGAAACAGUAUACCACUUUCUACCACAGCAUUUACUGAAUAUAUUAUCAUUAACAAUAAUUCAUCAAUGUGAUAUACAAAAGUGUAUCUCAUUUUAAAUUUGCACUUUUUAACCAAUGAAAUGACUUCUUUUAAGUCUAUGGUUCAUUUGCAUUUUUUAUUAAUUAUGUCUUUUGUUCAUCUUUUUAUUAUUGUUUAGUGCUUUCUUGAUUUGCAAGUGUUCUUUAACAUUAGGAUGUGUUUAUGAUAUGCUCAAUAAGGAAAUAGAGGCCUUGAUCAACACAGCAACUGGACCUCACAGACACAGGACAUACCCCCAACAGCAUCAGAACACAUUUUUCUCAUGCACACACAGAACAUUCUCCGGGAUAGCUCACAUUAGGCAAUCUCAACAAACUUUAAAAAGAUUGAAAUAAUUCAAAGUACGACUGAACUACAAACUUUGGAUGAUAGUGAUGUAUCAUAGUAGGUUCACUGGUGUUAACAGUGUUAGAGGCUGUGCAAGUGUACAGGCAAGGGCUAUGUAUUUUUUGCUCAACUUUAAUGUGAAUGUAAAACUGCUCUAAAAAUGUCAAUUAAAAAUGUAAUAACUGGUAUGCUAACACAGUAAAAAAAAAUUAUACCAAAGCAUAUUAAAAAAUGUGUCUGAAUUCAAUUAUUUUACUCAUAGGCAGAAUAUUCAAUAUUCAAUAAAUAUUCACUCAUACCCUGAACAAUGGAAGCUUCCCUGUCCCCUCAAAUUUCUUCUUCUACCUCAAGUGUGGGGCAAUGAAAAAUACUCAGUAAAAUGGAACACCAUGGGGAAGGGCCAAGUCCUUUAUCCCCCUCAAGUCCUUUUGGGAGCAGAACCAUGAAGAAAAUUUU